rnacentral:lncRNA from 1 species
AACAACUAACUUAACUAGUCAUGUUCUAAAAUAAGUAAAUGAAUUCAUUGAGCCGUUAUCAUAAAUGGCAUGUGCAAAUAGGAGAAAACGGGCAUAUCAUCAUGAAUCGAUGGCCCUAUGCUUAUUGAUCGGCUUGGCUCCACUCCAAGUGUCUGCAGAAGUUAUCAACCAUGCCACAGGUUCUUCCAAAAGAUUCUGCAUAAGGUGCUUGUCACACCAGUCUCAUCACCAAUAUGCAAAUGGCCAACAUUCUGCAGACUCAAACAUUGCACAAUGAACCACACCAACUUCAACAUCCGCAGAGCAUUCUCCACGUCAAACUACAACGACUUUGACGCUUCAGGUCACAUGUCGUCACAAAAACGAGCCACACAUCCGAGAUCCUACAGAAAUGAAUAAAUAUGAUUGACAAGUAACCAAUGCAAUUGGAAAAUAUGGUCAACUAAUAUUCAGAGCAAAAUAGAUGUUAAUCAUGUUUUUAUAUGUUCACACCCCCAAGCAGCAAGGAUCAAUGCAACAAUUCAAGUUAAAACGUUAAAUCCUCAUAUCAGUAAAAACUAGAAUAGCCUUGACUAAAGGUUAAAUUUUACGUAAAGGUAAAAAUUAGACUCCUACCACAAUGAAUACUUGUUUUUACAGCAGUAGAAAGUCUGUGAAGAGGUUUUAAUAAAUAGCCACGCACCUUUUGGGGAAGACACCAUAAAAACAAUCCCGUCUUACCACUUCCUGUUGGGACCACACUAAAUCUGUGAAAGAUUUGUUCAUAGCGAUUUGAUGCUGGGAUCUAUUUGCCAGCUCACGAAAGAUAAGGACGUAUAAACCUCAUACGGGAACUCUAUAAAAGGGACCUCAAGU